rnacentral:rRNA from 1 species
CCUAUGGGUGGCAGCAGUGAGGAAUAUUGGUCAAUGGGCGCGAGCCUGAACCAGCCAAGUAGCGUGAAGGAUGACUGCCCUACGGGUUGUAAACUUCUUUUAUAAAGGAAUAAAGUGAGGCACGUGUGCCUUUUUGUAUGUACUUUAUGAAUAAGGAUCGGCUAACUCCGUGCCAGCAGCCGCGGUAAUACGGAGGGUCCGAGCGUUAUCCGGAUUUAUUGUGUUUAAAGGGGGCGUAGAUGGGUUGUUAAGUCAGUUGUGAAAGUUUGCGGCUCAACCGUAAAAUUGCAAUUGAUACUGGCAGUCUUGAGUACAGGUGAGGGAGGCGGAAUUCGUGGUGUAGCGGUGAAAUGCUUAGAUAUCACGAAGAACUCCGAUUGCGAAGGCAGCUUACUAAACUGCCACUGACAUUGAUGCUCGAAAGUGUGGGUAUCAAACAGGAGUAGAUACCCCUGUAGUC